rnacentral:rRNA from 1 species
GACGAACGCUGGCGGCGUGCCUAAUACAUGCAAGUCGAACGCAGUGGGGACGGGUGAGUAACACGUGGGUAACCUCCCAUCAGAGGGGAUAACACUUGGAAACAGGUGCUAAACCGAUAUGGAUGGAUGGACCCGCGGGGCAUUAGCGAGUUGGUGAGGUAACGGCUCACCAAGGCCACGACGCAUAGCUUGCCUUAGAGGAUGAUCAGUCACACUGGAACUGAGACAGGGUCCAGACUCCUACGGGAGGCAGCAGUGGGGAAUAUUGGACAAUGGGCGAAAGCCUGAUCCAGCCAUGCCGCGUGUGUGAAGAAGGUCUUCGGAUUGUAAAGCACUUUAAGUUGGGAGGCGUUACCAACAGAAUAAGCACCGGCUAACUUCGUGCCAGCAGCCGCGGUAAUUC